rnacentral:rRNA from 1 species
AACGAACGCUGGCGGCGUGGAUAAGACAUGCAAGUCGAACGGGAUCAUUGGAGUAGCAAUACAACAGUGGUCUAGUGGCGAACGGGUGCGUAACACGUGGAUACAUUCCGGGAAGCGGGGGAUAGCCCAGGGAAACUUGGAUUAAUACCGCAUGUGGUCGAAAGACUAAAGGCAGGGACCGCAAGGCCUGCCACUUCCCGAUUGGUCCGCGGCCUAUCAGCUAGUUGGCGGGGUAAAAGCCCACCAAGGCUACGACGGGUAGCUGGUCUUAGAGGACGACCAGCCACACUGGAACUGAGACACGGUCCAGACACCUACGGGUGGCAGCAGUCGAGAAUCUUUCACAAUGGGGGCAACCCUGAUGGAGCGACGCCGCGUGGAGGAUAAGGUCUUCGGAUUGUAAACUCCUGUCAUGUGUGAACAAGGCUGUCGUGUUAAUAGCAUGGCAGAUUGAUGGGUAACACAAGAGGAAGAGACGGCUAACUCUGUGCCAGCAGCCGCGGUAAUC